rnacentral:rRNA from 1 species
UACGUAGGGGGCGAGCGUUGUCCGGAAUUACUGGGCGUAAAGAGCUCGUAGGUGGUUUGUCGCGUUGUUCGUGAAAACUCACAGCUUAACUGUGGGCGUGCGGGCGAUACGGGCAGACUUGAGUACUGCAGGGGAGACUGGAAUUCCUGGUGUAGCGGUGGAAUGCGCAGAUAUCAGGAGGAACACCGGUGGCGAAGGCGGGUCUCUGGGCAGUAACUGACGCUGGAGGAGCGGAAAGCCGUGGGGAGCGAACAGG